rnacentral:rRNA from 1 species
AACGAACGCUGGCGGCAUGCCUAACACAUGCAAGUCGAACGAGACCUUCGGGUCUAGUGGCGCACGGGUGCGUAACGCGUGGGAACCUGCCCUUAGGUUCGGAAUAACUCCCCGAAAGGGGUGCUAAUACCGGAUAAUGUCUUCGGACCAAAGAUUUAUCGCCUUUGGAUGGGCCCGCGUUGGAUUAGCUAGUUGGUAGGGUAAAAGCCUACCAAGGCGACGAUCCAUAGCUGGUCUGAGAGGAUGAUCAGCCACACUGGGACUGAGACACGGCCCAGACUCCUACGGGAGGCAGCAGUGGGGAAUAUUGGACAAUGGGCGAAAGCCUGAUCCAGCAAUGCCGCGUGAGUGAUGAAGGCCUUAGGAUUGUAAAGCUCUUUUACCCGGGAUGAUAAUGACAGUACCGGGAGAAUAAGCGCCGGCUAACUCCGUG